GCCAGGCAUGGUGGCACGUGCCUGUGGUCCAAGCUACUUAGAAGGCUGAGGUGGGAGGAUUGCUUGAGCCCAGGAAUUCAAGGCUGUAGUGAACUAUGAUUGUGCCACUGCACUCUAGCCUGGGUAAUAGAGUGAGACCCUAUCUCAA
rnacentral:SRP_RNA from 2 species